rnacentral:rRNA from 1 species
UACAGAGGGGGCAAGCGUUGUUCGGAAUUACUGGGCGUAAAGGGCGCGUAGGCGGCCUGCUAAGUCGAACGUGAAAUCCCUGGGCUCAACCCAGGAACUGCGUCCGAUACUGGUUGGCUUGAAUCCGGGAGAGGGACGUGGAAUUCCGGGUGUAGCGGUGAAAUGCGUAGAUAUCUGGAGGAACACCGGUGGCGAAGGCGACAUCCUGGACCGGUAUUGACGCUGAGGCGCGAAAGCCAGGGGAGCAAACGGG